CCCCCUUCACUACAACAGGCAUUAAUUUCUGCUCUACAUAAAGGAGUGUGAGUGAGUGUGUGUGUGUGUGUGUGUGUGUGGUGUUUUAAGAGGGUAAGUGUGGGAGGUCUGAGCUAUCCAAGGGAUGAAGGGGAGGGAUUCCUGCCCUUCGAAAACCUGCCCAAGGGGGCCUGCCUCAGACCCGGAGAGCUGCUGACUUGGACAGACGGCGAUAGAUCGUCAGGGACCAGCCUCCUGCACAGCGGCCGGGGAAAGGGCAAGUUGGCAGAGGCGAGGAUACCAAGUCCUGCGGAAGCCACAAAGACGCCGCAACACCAACAAAGAUGAACCUCUCUCUCGCGGGGCGGACGCCAGCGCCAGCUGCCGCUCCGGGGGCGAGCGUGGGCUCGGCUGGCAGAGGCGGCCGCGGGCGUGGGCCGGCCGGCGGCGGACCGCGGGGCCACCACCCCCAGCCCCCCCCACCCCGCCCCCGGUCGCCCCCCCACCCCCCGCCGGUCCCCUGCGCGGGCGCCCCGCCACCUGAGCCGGGCGUGGGGGCCGGCGCCGCGCUCCGGCCCUGCCCCCGGCAGGUAGCUCCGGCGGCCGCCCGCAGCCACCGGCGGCGACGAGAGGCGAGGCAGCCUCAGCCCACGGCGUCAUGCUUCCUGCCACCACAGUACGGCGAAUCGUCACCGGGAGAGGGGAGAAGAGGGGAGCGCGGGGGAGGGCGGGCAGCUCGCACACGCAGCCCCCCUGCCUGCCAAAGCCGCCGGGCCGGGCCACGUCCCGCCGGAGUCCCCGCGGGACCUGCCCCGUUUGCACAAAGCGCCGCGGCCGGGCCACGGAGGGAGGGAGACGGCCACGAAAUAAAUAAAUAAAAACAGAGUCGGGUCUACGUAACGCCCUGUCGAAAGCGGACGCCAUAUUUUUUUGUGGCUUAUGUCGACAUAGGGAAACGUAGACAUGUUUUUCCUCCUCCUCCUCCUCCUCGGUCUGGCUCCCAUUUAUCCAAACUUGUAAUCAAAACUCUUAAAAAAAAAAAAAAACGCCCCCCCCCUCCGGAUCCUCUGAUUUCCUCCCACCCGCAAAAAAGGGCCCGCACCGCCCCCCCUUCCUCACCCCCACCCCCCUUCCAAUCACAAACCCGGCCAAGUCCCAUUAACAACACAUUUUCGGGAGCCGCGGCGGCGGCGGCGGCGGUGGGAAAGUUGGGCUGGAGUGGCCGGCGCCCGGCGUGCGGGGCUCGGGGCUGGCGGCGCCGGGCGGGGGGUGCCGGGCGCCGAGGCGAAGUUUCUUACCUGCGCCGGGGCUGGGGACGCGGGGACCCGGGCUGGGAGCGCGGAGACGCGGCACGGGCGUUCCAAAAUGGAACUCUGCUGGCUCCCCCCACCCACUCCCCACUCCCCACCGGGCGCCGGGCUCGGGCUCCGUGGGAAAGAGGGGCACGGCCAGCCUGCCAGACAGACGGACAGGAAAAGCCCCCGUACGGGGAACAGUGGCCAAAAUUUUAAAAAGAAAAAAAAAAAAAAAAAAAAAAAAAAAAGAAGGGGAAAAAAAAAAAGGGGAAAAAAAAAUGUCUCGAUCAGUGGGGAAUCUACGCCAAAACCCACAUGAUCUGUAACGUCAGCAUGCGUAUUUGCAUACGAUACCACCACCCGAGCUGCCACCCGGGCUCGGGUUCCGCAGAAAGUUACAAAGUGAAAUUCGGCCCCCUCCGGAUACGCCGGCGAAAUGUCAUUUUCAGGCGGGAGCUGGGUGGGGGGAGGCUGGCCCUAAAGGCGCUGGUUACUAGCCGAGGUUGGGGGGGGCAGUAAAUUAACUUAAAAGUCUGAGCCCAGUAACGGACUCGGAGGAAUUUCUGCGAGGGGAGGAGGGGGAGGCGCGAGCGAGAUCAUUGAAUAUUAAGCACGACCCGGCCCGGCGGCCGCGGCCAAACCCUCCCGGUGCAAUACCCAUUUUCUUUAUGAAAAGUUCAAGGUGUCACUGAUGAGCUCAACAAACUGUUGAUCCUGACCACGUGGAGUGGCAGACGGAGGGACUGCGGGGCUCGGCUGCUGGCCCUGAGCCGCGGCACCCCCAGACCCCGCGUCCCUCUCUCGGCUCUAGGGGCCGCGCGCGCGGGUGGGGCCGCCACGCACCCAGGGCGCUGUCUGCCCUUUCUCCGCGUCUUUGGGCUCAGGGAAAUAAUAACUUAAAAAAAAAUUUUUUUUUUUUUUAAAGCGAGUUACGUUUUGCUCCUGGAAUAGUAAUAAGAGGGCUUGGGGUAGGGAGGGUGAGAAAGAGCCCCCACUUAUAUAACGACUUGAAAUUAGAUGGCUUUUGCUGGGGAGAUUCGGAGAUUUGCGCUUGCGCCAGGUCUGAGGUUGGUUAAAGAUCCUCAAACUUUUUCCCUUAAGAGCCAAUAAACAAACAGACGCCCCGGGAGCUGACUUAAACUCUAGUCGGGCCGGCGUUCGCUGCGAUUCUCAGUCUCGGAGAAAUGCACACCCCUGCGGCGCUCGCAAGGAAGUCCCUCGGAAGCAGGGCGGGUCACUUUCGGAACUGGGACUCCGGCGUUCCCGGCGGGAAGGGAUCCCUAACCGCCGCCCCCUGGCUCCCCUCGGGCGUUUUAGAGUAAAAGCCGGCCGGGAUCUCGCCGCCCUUCGCCGGCGGCCUCGGUGCGGUGAGCUUGCUUGCGUUCUGGGCGCGGCGUUCCUGCAGCUCUGCUACGCUAAGGAGCCCUGAGGAAUUCGGGAUCCAGGGGACGCUUCGGAAUCUCACGGGCAACCUGUCUGCGCCUCGCAUUCCUGCCGGGACCGACCCGUUUCCCCUCCAAGGGCAUCUCGACGCUUCAGACUUUCCCGGUGUGAGUUGGGCGCAAGCGCGCACGAGCGGAGCCGUGGCCAAGGGACGCUGUCUGGGGUCUACUUCUGACAGUCUGAGCGCAGCGAGAAAACAAAGGGAGCCUGGGGCUGGGAGGCUCUGCGGAGUCCCCGCCCGCCCGGAGGAUUAGCAGGCUCGGAGCGUCGGGGCUUCCCGGCCAGUCUCUGCUCCGGGGAAUUAGAA